AGCUUUGCACAGUGGCAGUAUCAUAGCCAAGAAGGUUUAUCAGAGGCACAGUUACUGCUAAUUGAAACUAAUUAGAAGCCCUGCUUCAUCCUUCAGAUCUAUUUGAAUCCUCACAAAUGUA
rnacentral:snRNA from 1 species